GGGCCCGCACAAGCGGUGGAGCAUGUGGUUUAAUUCGAUGAUACGCGAGGAACCUUACCAGGGCUUAAAUGUAAGUUGCAUAGAUCAGAGAUGGUCUUUUCUUCGGACUACUUACAAGGUGCUGCAUGGUUGUCGUCAGCUCGUGCCGUGAGGUGUCAGGUUAAGUCCUAUAACGAGCGCAACCCCUGUCGUUAGUUGCCAGCAAGUUAAGUUGGGCACUCUAGCGAGACUGCCAGUGCAAACUGUGAGGAAGGUGGGGAUGACGUCAAAUCAUCACGGCCCUUACGUCCUGGGCUACACACGUGCUACAAUGGCCGGUACAGAGAGCAGCCACUACGCGAGUAGGAGCGAAUCUAUAAAACCGGUCUCAGUUCGGAUCGCAGUCUGCAACUCGACUGCGUG
rnacentral:rRNA from 1 species